CAGUCGCCGCGGUAAUACGAAGGGUGCAAGCGUUACUCGGAAUUACUGGGCGUAAAGCGUGCGUAGGUGGUGGUUUAAGUCCGUUGUGAAAGCCCUGGGCUCAACCUGGGAAUUGCAGUGGAUACUGGGUCACUAGAGUGUGGUAGAGGAUAGUGGAAUUUCCGGUGUAGCGGUGAAAUGCGUAGAGAUCGGAAGGAACAUCUGUGGCGAAGGCGACUAUCUGGGCCAACACUGACACUGAGGCACGAAAGCGUAGGGAGCAAACAGGAUUAGAUACCCCAGUAGUCCCUGUCUCUUAUAC
rnacentral:rRNA from 1 species